rnacentral:rRNA from 1 species
UACGUAGGGUGCAAGCGUUAAUCGGAAUUACUGGGCGUAAAGCGUGCGCCAGGCGGUUAUGUAAGACAGAUGUGAAAUCCCCGGGCUCAACCUGGGAACUGCAUUUGUGACGUGCAUAGCUUGAGUGCGGCAGAGGGGGAUGGAAUUCCGCGUGUAGCAGUGAAAUGCGUAGAUAUGCGGAGGAACACCGAUGGCGAAGGCAAUCCCCUGGGCCUGCACUGACGCUCAUGCACGAAAGCGUGGGAGCAAACAGG